rnacentral:rRNA from 1 species
CCUACGGGUGGCAGCAGUGGGGAAUAUUGCACAAUGGGCGAAAGCCUGAUGCAGCAACGCCGCGUGAAGGAAGAAGGGUUUCGGCUCGUAAACUUCUAUCAACAGGGACGAAAGAAAUGACGGUACCUGAAUAAGAAGCCUCGGCUAACUACGUGCCAGCAGCAGCGGGAAUACGUAGGGGGCAAUCGUUAUCCGGAAUUACUGGGUGUAAAGGGUGAGUAGGCGGCAUGGUAAGCCAGAUGUGAAAGCCUUGGGCGUAACCCGAGGAUUGCAUUUGGAACUAGCAAGCUUGAGUACAGGAGAGGAAAGCGGAAUUCGUGGUGUAGCGGUGAAAUGCGUAGAUAUUAGGGAGAACACCGGUGGCGAAGGCAGCUUUCUGGACUGAAACUGACGCUGAGGCACGAAAGCGUGGGGAGCGAACAGGAUUAGAUACCCGUGUAGUC